CCUGGUUGAUCCUACCAGUAGUCAUAUGUUUGUCUCAAAGAUUAAGCCAUUCAUGUUUAAGUAUGAACUAAUUCAAAUUGUGAAACUGCGGAUGGCUCAUUAAAUCAGUUAUAGUUUCUUUGAUGGUACCCUACUACUCGGAUAACCAUAGUAAUUCUAGAUCUAAUAUGUGCACCAAGUCUCGACUCUUUGGAAGGGAUGCAUUUAUUAGAUAAAAAGUCGGUGCGGGCUUUCUCGCUUCUCCGGUGAAUCAUGAUAACUCGACGGAUCGCACAACCCUUGUAUUGGCGAUGCUUCAUUCAAUUUUUUUCCCUAUCAACUUUCGAUGGUAGGAUAGAGGCCUACCAUGGUGGUGAUGGGUGACAGAGAAUUAGAGUUCAAUUCCGGAGAGGGAACCUGAGAAACAACUACCACAUCCAAGGAAGGCAGCAGGCACACAAAUUACCCAAUCCUAACAUGGGGAGGUACUUACAAUAAAUAAAAAUACUAGGCUCAUCGACUCUGGUAAUUGGAAUGAGUACAAUCUAAAUCCCUCAAUGAGGAUCCAUUGGAGGGAAAGUUUGGUGCUAGCAGUUGCGAUAAUUCCAGCUCCAAUAGUGUAUAGUUAAGUUGUUGCAGUUAAAAAGCUUGUAGUUGGAUCUUGGGUCAUAAAAGUCGGUCUACCUACUCGGUGUGCACCUUCCCUUCUAUCCCUUUUGUCGAUGACGUGCUCCUAGACUUAAUUGUCUGGGUCACGGUUCCGACGUUGUUACUUUGAAAAAAUUAGAGUGCUCAAAGCAAGCUUAUGCUCUGAAUACAUUAGCAUGGAAUAACAUGAUAGGAGUUUGGUCCUAUUGUGUUGGCCUUCGGGACCAGAGUAAUGAUUAAUAGGGACUGUCGAGGGCAUUCAUAUUUCAUUGUCAAAGGUGAAAUUCUUAAAUUUAUGAAAGACGAACCACUGCGAAAGCAUUUGCCAAGGAUGUUUUCAUUAACCAAGAAUGGAAUUUGGGGGCUCGAAGACGAUCAGAUACCGUCCUAGUCUCAACCAUAAAUGGUGUCAACCAGGGAUCAACAGAUGUUUCUCUAAGGACUCUGCCAGCACCUUCUGAGAAAUCAGGUGUUUGGGUUCCAGGGGGAGUAUGGUUGCAAAAUAUGGUUGAAUUCCCUUUUCAAAACCUCGAUAGGCCCACCAAAUUCCAAUAUCAAUGUCUUCUAAGCUACAAUGGGUUCACGAGGAUGUCAAAAGGAUUUACCAAAACAAAACUUUAUGAGUGUUUUUCUCAAGCUCUUCCCUUUCUUUUGUCUUUAUCUCCAUGAGAAAAUAAUCAUCCCCUCAUAAUAAUGCCUCUCCCACUUAUACUUUCAUCCUCCCAAUCAUUAACUUUUCCAAUGGCCACCACUAAUCAUUAAUAACCCCUUCUUAAACCCUACCCUUUGACCCUUCUUAACUACUCCCCAACCACCCCUUUGACAUUGCCUUUGAAUGCCACAUGGGCCUAUCUUGAAAUCAGGAAGCAUGACCCUUUCCAUAUGCUCUAUUCAUACCCCCACAUGCACCAUAGUCAUUGAUCUUGACAAAGGAUCUUAU
rnacentral:rRNA from 1 species